rnacentral:lncRNA from 1 species
CAAAUUAUACGUCUGCAAGUUCAAGUCCUAACCCAUCUAGUUUCUUCGGCCAGGUGCCAGCACAACACAAUCUACACAGCACAAUAUUUAAGCAUCUUCUUCUUCUGCUUCCUUUGCUCUCUCAACUCUCAACGAACACAAAGCUCAGUUCUCUCUCUCUCUCUCAUUACUGGAUACAUUGAUAGUUUUUCUUACUAAUCUAGGUAUCUUCGUGACUUUCCCCUUUGUUUAUUUUUUUUUUUUUUUAUUUUUAUGUUUUAUUGAUUUACUUGAUAUAUAAUAUCAUAGAUUUAUAUAUGGAUUGAUGGAUUCAUUGUAUCUUCCAUUUUGUUGUGAUUUGUUUAUUUGAGUUAACCUGGUAUAGUUUAGUUCUUUAAGGCUUUGUAAAAACUAAAAAGUAUAGUUCACAUUUCACAAUACAAUUGCUUCGGAUAUUCCAAUGUUGUCAAUUAUCGAUAACAGGGGAAAAAACACUUGAGGUCAGCAUGUUACAUUACAUGUAUAAACAAGUGAAGAACUAAUUUAGAUCUUGUCUAAUAUAUGUGUGAUUGUGUGAAUAUGGAUUAAUUUGCAUUUUCAAAUUUCUAACAAAACAAAAAUAAUAAUUCCAUCUGUUUUAUAUAAGUUUCUUGAAAAAUAAUUAGAUCAAUUAAAAUUACUGUGAAUAAAUUUAAUUACUACUUCAAUAAAUGUAAGAAAAAUUAAGGAAGGGACUGUUUUGCUCACUAAAAAUGUGGUCCCAAAGUCUUUUAGAUUAUCAACUUUCUCACUAAUUGUUUAAUAAAAGAGUUUUAUUAAGUAAAGGGCAAUUAUUUGAUGUUUAGAGUUUUGCUUCAGUUAAAAGACCAAAAAGAGAAAGAUAUGAACGUUGUAGAAAAUGUGGCCCUAUUAGAUCUUUUGACUCUUUGGGGCCUUAGGCACCUGCCUAGUCUUAAGGGUAGAGCCGCCCCUGUUAUAAUGAUGUGUGUUACGGAAAAUCUACUUAUAUUAGUAAUAUGGAUAAAAACUAAAUCAGAUAAUCUUUCUAUAUAUAGGAAAUGUUUAAGGUGAAAAUAAUUAAUAAUCGACGUGAUUGCAUGGGACGCAUGUAUGAGAGGAUAUGAAGCGUUCUUCUUAUCAGUACGAAAGGCGUAUAUAACAAGUCAUAAGUAAGAUUACUAAGUACCAUUUCAUAUGUAAGAUUCAUAAAACAAGUCAUGAUGAUGUAGACCAUGAACAGAAGUAUUAACUAAAUCGACAAGGUGUAUAACUGUAUAAGAUGUAACUCCUUAGAAGCUUAAAGCUUCACGACUUCAUGUUGCAUCAUGAAUGCCUCUUAGUGUCAUUGUAUUUUUGUUUGGAUAACUCAAACACUUCAAUUAAUACAUUGCAGUUAGUACCAAAACAAAAGUAUGACCGCACCUGCGCAGUGCAAAUGUAUAUUUAGAACCUAGAGUCUAAGACAUCCCAACUAGAUGCUCCAGAUAACCAAUUAUUAAUUGAUGUCCCACCUCUCGAUGAGCCCUAAUGCACCUACAAAAUGGUUUAUGUGGCUCGAACUGCACUUCAUUUAAGCAAAAUAAUAACUUUUGAACUUACUUUUUAACAAUUAAGAAGCAAUCUUGAUCUUAGCUGAUUGUUUGCAAUCGAAGAAGACAUGUUUGAUUGAUAUAGCUGAGUACCGAUUAAGUGGGGAUAGUUUAGUACCUAUUGGCAUUUUCAUAUUUAGAUGUGUUCAUAAUGGCAAAGGAUAUCAUUUGUUCUGAAUGUUGUUUAUUGAUAUUGGAAUCUUUGAUUGUUUAAGUAUGUAUCCCUUUAAUUGUCUAUUUUCGACUUUUUGUACUUAUCUCUCAAAGUAAACACAACACCAAUGAAGCCAAGAAAAUAAUAAUUAUCUUUUAUAUAAUUCUCUUUUUCCCCUGUCUUAUGACAUUGUUCCUAAACAAUUUAAAAGUUUCUUGUUCUUUUUGUUUUCUUUUUAUUAUUAUGUCCUACAGAAGCAAAUUUUGUGACCAUCUGAUACUUAUUCUUACUACAAUGCAUGUAAGGUGGCACAAAUGAUGCUAUUGCACAGUAAACUUUGUGUCGUCACAAUCACCUUUACAUAUAAAGUUAGUGUGGUAUAAUGUUUUCACUUCUUUGGUUUCAUUUAAUCCUGUAUGGAAGAUGGAUUUCAAGAUCUAAAUCAUAAAAUCAGUUAAAAAAUGAGAUAAUAACAUCUACGUGAGCAUAUCUGCAUGAGCACAUCCAACAAGACCAGCAUUGCAGUAGUCCUUUAGUAAUUAAUGAAAGCAUAGAUAAGAUAUGAUUUUAAGACAUAAUUGUUCAUAUGUAUGUAACCUAAUAGCAUGAUAUGUUUGAAUUGGUUGCAUGCAAUAAAUAACAAGAUUGACAUCCCAUUUCAAUCCUAAAAAAAUUGCGAAAGCAUAUAAUGUUAACGGUAAAAAUAAAAUCAUUGCUUACUGCAUCUAAUGUUGAAAAGAUGUUGUCAACUUGUCAUCUGCAUCAACUGAAACAGUUUGCUCUUUCUACAUACUGUAUCUUUUUUUUUUCUUUUUAGAUAAAAUCAUACCAUAGACUUGGAUAUAUUUGCUUUCAUUCUUUCAAAUAUCGUGAUCUUUAUUCUGAGGCACUUUGUUUUAAAUUCGAGGUCAAUUUCAUUUACUGUUGAUUUGUAUCUUACAGUCCAUCUUUUGUUUUCCAUAUUAGGCAACUCAAAGCUGAAGCUUGAAAGGAGGACAUACAAGAGUUUAUGAGAUAAUCAGCAGCCAAUUCAGCAAAAGAUAUUUUUUAGGCAGAUAACAGUAUAUCAUUUGGAAGAGUAGGAAGUUUCUAUGCAGAUGCAGGUGAGAAAUAGAUGUCUAUGGAAGAAACACACAUUGUGAAGCAGAUAUUGAACAUGCAGAUCAAACAGAAUAAGGAAAAGGUAAUUUAGGAAACCAUUUCUAAACUAUUCUUAGUAUUUGUCAGCAGAUCUUUUUGUUUGUGUUUGUAGUAUGUGGAAAUCUGGUAGUUUAUUAUGUAUACUGUGGCCAACAUUAUAUAUUACCAAGUUCCAAGGGGUCUUUGAUAUAUUUACUAUAUUUACUAGUUAGUGUGAUUUAUGCAAUCUACAUACACUUUUGAUUAAUUUGAUUUUUAUGUUUCUCUUUUAAUAGAUGACGGUAGCUUUUGCUGAAUUGUGCUACAUCGAUGUUCAUAACUUUAAGGUCACAGGUCUGAUCCCAAUUGAAUUGCGUGAAGGUAAACUCCCCUAAGCUUAUUAAGAUUAUAAUAUAUUCUGUGUGGAGAUGUGGGGUCCUAGUCCCAUCUGCUUAAUAUGGAGAUUUCAUUAUUGAAACCACAUAACAUGGUGGGCCUCAUCUACUUUGUGAAAUUUAAAUUGGUAAUUUAAUGCCAAUUGUGAUAGAACUCUCACACUAUAACUUAGACUUCAUGUUGAAAGAAUUAUUGACAUCUGAAACUCUUACGAGUUACGACAAUCUGGAAGCUUCAUUCAAAGGAUCAUUCAUUAUUAAUUUGAUCGUUUGCUUAACAUACCAUGGUGAUAUUGUACUUGGUAUUUAGUGAUAUUUAUUAUUUAAUCGAUAAUUUAAGGUCGGAUAGAGCUCUUACACUAUAACUUAGACUUUAAGGUCGGAAUAUAAAGUAUGUAAAUAAUUGGAUAAACUAUGUGGCUAAUCAAUAUAUUCUCAUGAAAGACUUACACGGAGAUCUGAAACUCUUAACAGCAAACUGGAAUCUUCAUUGAAAGCAUCGCUCAUUAUUAAUUUGGUCAUUUUGCUCAAAUUUUCACCUUUAGUUUGGUCCGUUUAAAAGGAUAUGAAACUCGUGGGAUGUAAAUAUAGGAUAUAUGUUUUGAUCAAAAGGUAAUUUUUGUUAUAUAUCAAAAUAUGGACUGCUGAUACUGAAAUUCCCUAGUGUGUUAGUUCACUUUGGCUUGUAACUAGUUGUAAAAGUUGAUGUUGUUCAUUCGCAGGUUUUCUGUUGUUUACCCUCUCCAUUCUCUAAAACCAGGGAGCAGCUAGAAAAUGAUUUCUGAAGUUUAGAAAAAAUUGUGGACUUAAAUUCCAAAGAUCGGAACUCUGCACUUAUCGAAUAUCAUAUGCUACAGAGGUUGUGGGAGGUUUUAUAAGUCCAAUGAUUACCGUAGAUGGUCGGAAUGCAGAAAGAUAAAAAAUAGAAAGUGUAUACUCGGGCAAAGGAUUUUUACAGGGUCGAGGCAACAGGAGCUGUUAUCACGAUUGCUUUCUCACAGUUCAAAGGAAUAUCAUGGUGGAAAUAUGAAUGGAAGGCGUAUAGGGGGGGCGGGGGGGUGAUCAAAUAUCGUAAGCUAGAAAAUGUUGUAGCAGCUGCUAAAAAUAUGAAUGGAAGGCGUUCAGGGGGUGAUACGUGUGGAGUUUUGAGGUCACAACCCUCAAGAAGUACUUGCACCAGAAAGGUGUUUGGAUGUUAAGAAAUUGUCUGGCAUGAAUUACAGUUGAAGCCGACGACAAGAAUUACUUGAAAAGGAAAUGUACUGACUACUGAGUGAUGUAACAUCAAAAUUUAUUGUCUUACUCUUAGAUACCACAGCAUAGUUAUGUUCCACAUGUAAGACACUAUUUCAAAAUUUCAGAUAACACAAUUGCUAUGGUGAAAUGUGUAUUCUAUCUGGAAUUUUCUGUACAUUUUGAAUGUUGAAAGAACUAACUCUAUUGUACAUAUCUAGAGAUGAACUAUUUCCUAGUACAGUAGAUGGAUUGGAAUUGGUCUGAUAAGCUGUUCAUCCGUGACUAGCUAGAUUAUACAGU